rnacentral:rRNA from 1 species
UACAGAGGCCUCAAGCGUUGUUCGGAUUCAUUGGGCGUAAAGGGUGCGUAGGUGGCGCGGUAAGUCGGGUGUGAAAUUUCGGAGCUUAACUCCGAAACUGCAUUCGAUACUGCCGUGCUUGAGGACUGGAGAGGAGACUGGAAUUUACGGUGUAGCAGUGAAAUGCGUAGAGAUCGUAAGGAAGACCAGUGGCGAAGGCGGGUCUCUGGACAGUUCCUGACACUGAGGCACGAAGGCCAGGGGAGCAAACGGG